UCGGCUUCCUACGGGAGGCAGCAGUGGGGAAUAUUGGACAAUGGACGCAAGCCUGAUCCAGCAAUGCCGCGUGUGUGAAGAAGGCCUGCGGGUUGUAAAGCACUUUUAUUAGGAAAGAAAAACCCUAGAUUAAUACUCUUCGCAUUGACGGUACCUAAAGAAUAAGCACCGGCUAACUCAGUGCCAGCAGCCGCGGUAAUA
rnacentral:rRNA from 1 species